CCUACGGGAGGCUGCAGUGGGGGAUAAUGCACAAUGGACGCAAGCCUGAUGCAGCGACGCAGCGUGAGCGAAGAAGGAUCUCGGUAUGUAAAGCUCUAUCAGCAGGGAAGAAAAUGAUGGUACCUGACUAAGAAGCUACGGCUAAAUACGUGCCAGCAGCCGCGGUAAUACGGAUGGAGCCAGCGUUAUCCGGAUUUACUGGGUGUAAAGGGAGCGUAGGCGGCUCGGUAAGUCAGUUGUGAAAUUUUGGGGCUCAACCGCAAACGUGCAUUUGAAACUGCAAGUCUUGAGUGCCGGAGAGGUAGGCGGAAUUCCUGGUGUAGCGGUGAAAUGCGUAGAUAUUAGGAAGAACUCCAGUGGCGAAGGCAGCCUGCUGGACGGUAACUGACACUGAGGCUCGAAAGUGUGGGGAGCAAACAGGAUUAGAUACCCGUGUAGUC
rnacentral:rRNA from 1 species